AAUAAAUAGUACCAAAAUGUUAAAGAUUUGUACCAAAAUCCAUAAAUUUACACCAAUUUAUACACCAGUGUGCUACUUGAGCCGUUCGUUGGAACUGUCAUUCGAUUAAUAUUUGACGAACGUACGCGCGCAAAAUUUGAUACAAUUUUUUGAAAAAUGACCAACUACAAUAACUUAAACUCUACGCAGAUGGAACUCAUGGCGGAGUUCAUGGCCGAACACCCUGACUUGGCAAAGAAUUUACUCCUAAACUGCUCGCAGGGAAAAGCAACGGCCAACCGUUGGUGGGAAAACCUCACCAAACAAUUACAUGUGGUGGA